UGUGUAUCUCAUGAGAAAUUC
rnacentral:piRNA from 1 species